rnacentral:rRNA from 1 species
CCUACGGGUGGCAGCAGUCGAGAAUCAUUCACAAUGGGGGAAACCCUGAUGGUGCGACGCCGCGUGGGGGAAUGAAGGUCUUCGGAUUGUAAACCUCUGUCAUGUGGGAGCAAAUUAAAAAGAUAGUACCACAAGAGGAAGAGACGGCUAACUCUGUGCCAGCAGCCGCGGGAAUACAGCGGUCUCAAGCGUUGUUCGGAAUGACUGGUCGUAAGGGGUGCGGAGGCUGUUUCGUAAGUCGUGUGUGAAAGGCGCGGGCUCAACCCGCGGGCGGCACAUGAUACUGGGAGACUAGAGUAAUGGAGGGGGAACCGGAAUUCUCGGUGUAGCAGUGAAAUGCGUAGAUAUCGAGAGGAACACUCGUGGCGAAGGCGGGUUCCUGGACAUUAACUGACGCUGAGGCACGAAGGCCAGGGGAGCGAAAGGGAUUAGAUACCCUAGUAGUC